UACAGAGGGUGCGAGCGUUAAUCGGAAUUACUGGGCGUAAAGCGCACGUAGGCGGCUUUCUAAGUCGGGGGUGAAAUCCUGGAGCUCAACUCCAGAACUGCCUUCGAUACUGGAAAGCUCGAGUCCGGAAGAGGCGAGUGGAAUUCCUGGUGUAGCGGUGAAAUGCGCAGAUAUCAGGAGGAACACCGGUGGCGAAGGCGGGUCUCUGGGCAGUAACUGACGCUGAGGAGCGAAAGCGUGGGGAGCAAACAGG
rnacentral:rRNA from 1 species